UCCGAGCGGCGACGGGUGAGUAACACGUGAGCAACCUGCCCCUGACUCCGGGAUAAGCGGUGGAAACGCCGUCUAAUACCGGAUACGACCCGCCACCUCAUGGUGGAGGGUGGAAAGUUUUAUCGGUCAGGGAUGGGCUCGCGGCCUAUCAGCUUGUUGGUGGGGUAACGGCCUACCAAGGCGAUUACGGGUAGCCGGCCUGAGAGGGCGACCGGCCACACUGGGACUGAGACACGGCCCAGACUCCUGCGGGAGGCAGCAGUGGGGAAUAUUGCACAAUGGGCGAAAGCCUGAUGCAGCGACGCCGCGUGGGGGAUGACGGCCUUCGGGUUGUAAACCUCUUUUACCACCAACGCAGGCUCCACGUUCUCGUGGGGUUGACGGUAGGUGGGGAAUAAGGACCGGCUAACUACGUGCCAGCAGCCGCGGUAAUACGUAGGGUCCGAGCGUUGUCCGGAAUUAUUGGGCGUAAAGAGCUCGUAGGCGGCAUGUCGCGUCUGCUGUGAAAGACCGGGGCUUAACUCCGGUUCUGCAGUGGAUACGGGCAUGCUAGAGGUAGGUAGGGGAGACUGGAAUUCCUGGUGUAGCGGUGAAAUGCGCAGAUAUCAGGAGGAACACCGGUGGCGAAGGCGGGUCUCUGGGCCUUACCUGACGCUGAGGAGCGAAAGCAUGGGGAGCGAACAGGAUUAGAUACCCUGGUAGUCCAUGCCGUAAACGUUGGGCGCUAGGUGUGGGGACUUUCCACGGUUUCCGCGCCGUAGCUAACGCAUUAAGCGCCCGCCUGGGGAGUACGCGCAAGGCUAAACUCAAAGAUUGACGGGGCCGCACAGCGCGAGCAUGUGCUAUCGAC
rnacentral:rRNA from 1 species